GCCCGGUUAGCUCAAUCGGUAGAGCGUGUGGCUGUAAGUUACCAAUUAAAACUAAUUAUUCCUCCGCAACAUUUAACUAAUAAUCACCCAGUUUAUAAAAUGCACACCUCAAGGUUGCGAGUUCGAGCCUCGCAUCGGGCG
rfam:Aspergillus carbonarius ITEM 5010 unplaced genomic scaffold ASPCAscaffold_108, whole genome shotgun sequence.